rnacentral:rRNA from 1 species
UACGUAGGGUGCGAGCGUUGUCCGGAAUUAUUGGGCGUAAAGGGCUCGUAGGCGGUUUGUCGCGUCGGGAGUGAAAUCCACUGGCUUAACUGGUGGCUUGCUUUCGAUACGGGCAGACUGGAGGUAUGCAGGGGAGAACGGAAUUCCUGGUGUAGCGGUGAAAUGCGCAGAUAUCAGGAGGAACACCGGUGGCGAAGGCGGGUCUCUGGGCCGAUACUGACGCUGAGGAGCGGAAGCGUGGGGAGCGAACAGG